GAACCUCACUCCAUUGGCCUCAGCCCAGCUAUCCAGCCUGUCCAGAUCCCUCUGUAGGGCCUUCCUGCCCCCAGGCGGAUCGAUGCUUCCCCCCAGCUCAGUGCCAUCUGCAAACUCACUGAGGGUGCACCCAGUGCCCCCAUCCAAGUCAUCAGUCAGUAUUGAACGAGUCUCUUACCACUUCUUUCUUCCAUCGCUGUCAUGUUUCUCUGCUCCUUCCUUCAGAAGUAGCAGGGCAACAUUUAACAUUUACUACAGGAACGCUUGAGUUGGCUCUUGAUUCUGUUCAUUAUAACGUGGAAAAACGUGUCCUUCAUUUUUAUAUAAGUCAAAAAACUGAGAUAAGGAAACUGAAGGAUUUUUGAUGUUCAUUAAUCCUUUAUCAUUUAUAGAAGGGGCUGACUAAAUAGGCAACAUCAGUGGUACUUUUUUAUAGUGUCCUCCUGUAAUAGGUUGUGUGGCUCAACCACCCAGUGGAGGCAUGAGCAGCUCUGUUCUCACUGACCUGGAGUGGGUAGGAGUGAGCGUUGGGUGCACAAAUUGAGCAACUGCAGAUGUUUGGGACACUGUGAGACCUUCACUGGGUCUUCAGCUGUCGGUCUGAAUGAAUUCAGUUACAAGAAAUAAAUCUGUCAGUCUCAUUUAGAUGUCUCGGAUAUUUCAAAUUUUCUCUUGUGAUGUUAAUACUGCUAUCUCCAUCUGGCCUCCUGUCAUUCAGUCUUGCGAGGCAAACUUUAACAGCCUCUCAAUUCAUAGUGAGUCUUUCCAUAUUUAAUCACUAACAUUUCUACUUGGAAUAAAAUUAUUUUUACCUUUGAACACAUUUAUUUGCUAAUUGUGUAGGUGAAAGGGGCUGCAAAUACAGGUAUACUCUGAGUGGACCCAUGUUACAGCUUUGCCUACUGUUUUUUUUUUUUUUUUAAGAUGUUCCUACAAACUGACUUUCCCCAGUCACCAUUUACUUCAGAAUACAUUCUUAAAGCCUUUUUGUCCCUUCAAUCACAUUACUUAGAUUUAUAUUUCUUGCAACACACUCAGUGACCCAUUUCCAUAUGGUGUACAGGUGCAUUAAGCUCGUUCUUGUUCUUACUCAGAUGUUUUUAUUUCACUCAAGACCACCUACCUGGUUCCUUUUUAAGUCCUUUUCAUAACCUUGCAAUAAACUUCUCUCUUUUAGGUUUUCCUUGGGAGAUGCUCGUCGGCCGCUCCACGAGUCUGCCAUCUUGGUGGAAGACAUCGUCCACACUCAGCUGAUAAAUCUGGACCAAAUAACAUGCAGAAAUGGUGAGUGAUGUUCUGCCCACAGUAAUGUGAAGAAGCUACUGCUACACUUGCAUAUUGGUAGUGCUCACCUCACUUAUGGUUACAUGUUGUAUUUGUGUGAUAGCUGAAAAUCCUCCUACCACUGGGAAUGACGCUGAUGCGUUUCUUUUCUGUUAAAAAUCUUAAACUCUUAAAAACAUUUCUAGUAUCUGAAGAGCUCAUUGGGAAUUUUUCUCUUUUAUUCCUUGUUGUGAAUGCGUUAUUAUUUGCUUAAUAUUUCUGUUUAAAUAUUUUUACUGUUCAGUGUUUUGAUUUCUGUCAAAAAUUAUUUGGAAGUAGUAAAUAUUUUCCUUCAUUGAAAGCCAAUGAAAGUGUUGUAUAAAUAAACAGAAAUUACUGAAAAAAGAAAUUGUGGAAAAAAAGAGGUGGUUUUGAAUAUUGCAGAGGUGGUUCUGAAAUCUGAACCUCACCAUAGCUUUUAUUUUAAAAACAUUUUAUGGAUAGGUUAGUGCUCGUGUUUCAGACAACAGCAUGAGUUUGCCAUCUGGCAUUGGGUACUGGAAGGUAUAGUCCUUUCAGUCACCUGUGCCUUAGCACACAUAAAGUGUUGUGCUUCUCCUCAUAGAGUGGUUCUUCAGCUGCAGUCACCAGUACGUGCGUGUGAAUGGAACUAAUAAAUACAAAUAAUACUAGGUUAUUGUAACUAAUAUUUAUUUAUGGCCAUUCCUUUGAUUAGCAAAAGCAUUGAGCUGUGAGCUCCUAGAUCUUCUUUACAGAUCUUCUGCUUUUUAAUGAGCCCUUCAGCAAUCCAAAGGUGUUUCUGAAUUUCGAGGUAGGUUUGGUAACAACAGUAACAAGAUGUAUAGACUUUUAUAAACGGAGACAAUUCAGAAUGGGGCAGACCACAGAGAAGUGUUGAUAAUUGAGUCUCCCCUGUUGCCUUCAGGUGAGUGCUUUCCUUCAGCUUUGCACUUAACCCUGCAGACAUUCCUGCAUGGCAAUGACCACGUCCACAGCCCUCCCAGUCCUGGGUGGCUGUUCUGUGUUCAUACCUCAAGCCCUUCAGCAUGUAUCCCCUUCCCUGCAUCACCCAGCACCUUGUGCUGUGGCUCCUUUGCUUACCACGCUUCUUAUUAGGCUCUGGGAGAGGGAACAACCUCUUCUCCUUCUCCACAUGUUUCCCACUGGUUAAACAGUGGGAAAUAUAUGCUCCAGGCCAUAUAUUUAGAUUUUUUUUGUUCUAGCUAUAAUAACUGUAUAAUAACUUGGAUUAUGAAAACUGAUGGCUGUGGCUUCACUCUUCCUUCAGCAAUAAUGUGCUUUUGCUUUCCACCUAAGCUUAGCAGAUCCUUAUGGCAAAAUGUGCUUUUUGAGAAAGUACAACCUGUGGCCAAGUGGUCUUUGCACUUAAAUCAAUGCUGGGCAUUUGUGUCAGGAGUCUGUGACCCCUGGAGAACCCUGAGCAGGGUGUAGGAGCAUGCAGGAUUUCCUGACAGAAGGAAGAAUGGGAACAGAGCGUCAGAUAAACAGCUUUUCUAACCUUUCACCUCCGAGCCCAAGACAGCACUUUAUUUCUGAGGAAGUGAAAGUAUCUUUAAUAGCUCAUUGUUUUGACCUCUGACAUUGGCACGCCGGAACUCUUCAAUCAUGGGCUUUUUACAUGCUCUGGGUUUCUGAUAGGGAUCUUUGCACAUUCGGCAUCCUUUACAACUGCACGUCCUUGCUGGGAUGUUAGUAAGUAUUUGCAGUGUUUCACUUUAGAGAUAGAUGUUCAUGUGGGUAUAUGCAGCACGAGAGGAAAACUAGUCUUGUAAUUGGAACUGCCUGGAAAUGUACUGCUUACUACAUAGAUUUAAUCAUACCAUUCAUGUUAAUGGACUACACAGUUCUCAUUAUGUAAUUUAAUGAUUUCCUCUCAAAAUUCAUGUCUUUUUUGUCAUGUGUAAGGCUAAACUGUAGAAACUCCUUUUAUGCCUGAAGUAGGACUGGCACAUCAUGCACAUAUUUCUUAGUAAACAGUUGUGAGAAGAGCACAUACUUGUUGAUUAAGUCCAGAUUUGAGCUUCUGAAUUCAAAAAUAAGCCAGCUUGAUUACCUUUGAUUGGUUGACUUCUGAUAUCUCUGAGGUUUAUAGUUCCAGCUUCCUAUUUUCAAAUUUGAUCUGAACUCUAUUAAAUCAGAGUCUGAUUUGGACAGACUUAUAUGGUCACCAUAUCAAUCCAAUGUAUACUUUAUGAGGUCUGGCUGCUAUAGCAAAUGAUUGCACUAACAAGUCAAAUCCUUAAAAACCAGUCUUAUUUUAGUCUGUGUCACAUUUUAUGAGCAAUCUUUUUAUGUUUCAAACUAUGUGUAAUAAGUAAUAAGUAAUAAGAAAUACUACUUUUUAUUAAGUUAAAUUGUGCUAGAACUAUAUAGCAACGUGUAGAAGGAAAUGAGCAUCUCCAGAGAAUGAUGCACAUCAUCCUAAAAUUAGUUUCUGCAUUCGAUGAGAUGAAUCGCCUCCUGAGAAAUUUAUUUCCCUAACUGUCUAAUAAAGGGACUCUGUGAUGGCUGUCUGGGCUUUGAGUAUCAAGGAGAUAGUUAUAAACUUUGGGUGUCGAGUUGCAUCUGAUUUGUGUCAGUUAGAAUACUAAAAGGAACUUGAUUUUUUUUGCAUAUAUUUUAAUUAUGAAAGUGUUUUGCUAGUUGCAUAUCAAGCGAUAUAAAAAAGAACCAACUGAAUAGAAAAACUCUGUGGAUAUUUUUUUCAAGCAUGGUUUAUUAAAAGAGCACAACGAAUGUAAGUUUGUUUGAAAUCAAGUUGAUUGUUGACCAAUAGUAUUUGUUCAAUAACUGAUCUGUAUGAAUUUAUAGAUGCCUUAAUAUUAACUCUUAAACUGUAUUCAAUUAUGUGAACUAAGACUGGAGUUCCAAUCAAAGUUGGAAUGCCCCUUAUGGGUCAGUAGAGGAAAGAGGUAGAGGAAAAUGGUUGCAAAGAAAAUUGUACCUGCAUGAAAAAUGUUCCAGCAGAGAAUUCAAAAUGAUGUUAAUCAGCAGGGGACAAACUAUUAAGGUACCAUUCAAAAUGGAGCAAGGCUUCUUUGAGCUGCUUCUUCCAUUACAGCCAGCACACAUUGAAUGUUCAGUAACAAAAUUCAGUAUGGAGUCCUUCAGUAUUUUAUUUUCAGGCACCUGCUUUAGCUCUGCAACAGAAGCAGGUAUUUUGGUGCAAAUUUCUCUUCUAGAUUAAAGUUAGAAAAGUGUAAUUUGUAUUUUCUUUGCACUAAGAUUGCACAUUGUAUUAUCUUUCUGUUUUUGGUAGAGUUGCUCUAAAAAAAAAAAAAA